GAUGAACGCUAGCUACAGGCUUAACACAUGCAAGUCGAGGGGAAACGACAUUGAAGCUUGCUUCGAUGGGCGUCGACCGGCGCACGGGUGAGUAACGCGUAUCCAACCUGCCUCUGACUAAGGGAUAACCCGGCGAAAGUCGGACUAAUACCUUAUGAGGUUUUCAGCAGACAUCUAAUGAAAACGAAAGAUUUAUCGGUCAGCGAUGGGGAUGCGUCUGAUUAGCUUGUUGGCGGGGUAACGGCCCACCAAGGCAACGAUCAGUAGGGGUUCUGAGAGGAAGGUCCCCCACAUUGGAACUGAGACACGGUCCAAACUCCUACGGGAGGCAGCAGUGAGGAAUAUUGGUCAAUGGGCGAGAGCCUGAACCAGCCAAGUAGCGUGCAGGAAGACGGCCCUAUGGGUUGUAAACUGCUUUUAUGUGGGGAUAAAGUGAGCUACGUGUAGUUUAUUGCAGGUACCACAUGAAUAAGGACCGGCUAAUUCCGUGCCAGCAGCCGCGGUAAUACGGAAGGUCCAGGCGUUAUCCGGAUUUAUUGGGUUUAAAGGGAGCGUAGGCCGUGGAUUAAGCGUGUUGUGAAAUGUAGACGCUCAACGUCUGAAUUGCAGCGCGAACUGGUUCACUUGAGUAUGCACAACGUAGGCGGAAUUCGUCGUGUAGCGGUGAAAUGCUUAGAUAUGACGAAGAACUCCGAUUGCGAAGGCAGCUUACGGGAGCACAACUGACGCUGAAGCUCGAAGGUGCGGGUAUCAAACAGG
rnacentral:rRNA from 1 species